GAUGAACGCUGGCGGCGUGCCUAAUACAUGCAAGUCGAGCGAACAGACGAGGAGCUUGCUCCUCUGACGUUAGCGGCGGACGGGUGAGUAACACGUGGAUAACCUACCUAUAAGACUGGGAUAACUUCGGGAAACCGGAGCUAAUACCGGAUAAUAUAUUGAACCGCAUGGUUCAAUAGUGAAAGACGGUUUUGCUGUCACUUAUAGAUGGAUCCGCGCCGCAUUAGCUAGUUGGUAAGGUAACGGCUUACCAAGGCAACGAUGCGUAGCCGACCUGAGAGGGUGGUAGGCCACAGUGGAACUGAGACACGGUCCAGACUACUACGGGAGGCAGCAGUAGGGAAUAUUCCGGAAUGGACGAGAGUCGGACGGCGCAAUAACGCGGGAGUAAUAAAGGUCUUAGUAUCGUAAAACUCUGUGAUUAGGGAAGAACAAAUGUGUAAGUAAAUAUGCACGUCAUGACGGUACCUAAACAGAAAGCCACGGCUAACUACGU
rnacentral:rRNA from 1 species